rnacentral:rRNA from 1 species
UACAGAGGGUGCAAGCGUUAAUCGGAAUUACUGGGCGUAAAGCGAGCGUAGUCGGUUAUUUAAGUCGGAUGUGAAAUCCCUGGGCUCAACUCAGGGGGGUCGGCUGAUACUGCCGUUCUUGAGGGAUGCAGAGGAGACUGGAAUUCCCGGUGUAGCGGUGAAAUGUGUAGAGAUCGGGAGGAACACCGGUGGCGAAGGCGGGUCUCUGGGCAUUCCCUGACGCUGAGGCGCGAAAGCCAGGGGAGCAAACGGG